AUGCAGCAGAAAGAAUUGCAUCCCCCCAGUAAGGUUUGGGAAUAUUCAUUGUAAACAUAAGAGACCCAGCAACCUCAAAUAAAUGUCUAUUUUUUCUCUCAGACACUCCAUUUUGAGCACUAGUGUUAACACAACUAGUCUGAUGCAAAGUUCCGUGUGACUUCAAAUAUUCCUGAAAAACUCCAUUCAUAUACUCUGUGCCAUUAUCAGUUUUUAGUAUUUUAACAUGAGUAUCAAACUGUGUACUAAUCAUUUUAUGGAACUGCUGGAAACAAGAAAAAAU
rnacentral:misc_RNA from 1 species